UGAGAAGCCCGAGAAAGUUCCGAACCU
rnacentral:piRNA from 1 species